rnacentral:rRNA from 1 species
AACGAACGCUGGCGGCAUGCCUAACACAUGCAAGUCGAACGGGAUCCUGGUUUCGGCCAGGUGAGAGUGGCGGACGGGUGAGUAACGCGUGGGAACCUGCCCAGUGGUGGGGGAUAACUGCGGGAAACUGCAGCUAAUACCGCAUGAGCCCGAAAGGGGAAAGAUUGAUCGCCAUUGGAGGGGCCCGCGUUCGAUUAGGUAGUUGGUGAGGUAACGGCUCACCAAGCCUUCGAUCGANAGCUGGUCUGAGAGGAUGAUCAGCCACACUGGGACUGAGAUACGGCCCAGACUCCUACGGGGGGCAGCAGUGGGGAAUCUUGCGCAAUGGGCGAAAGCCUGACGCAGCGACGCCGCGUGAGGGAUGACGGCCU